AUGUUAGAAUGGAAAAAGCCGGGUUAGGAUAGGGUUUUAUUCGUCUGGGACAGGUAAGGAUAGGGUUAGAAUGGAAAAAGCCCGGGGAGGAUAGUGUUUUAUUCGUCUGGGACAAGUUCGGGUUAGAAUGGAAAAAGCCCGGUUAGGAUAGGGUUUUAUUCGUCUGGGACAGGUUAGGAUAGGGUUAGAAUGGAAAAAGCCGGGUUAGGAUAGGGAUUUAUUCGUCUGGGACAUGUUAGGAUAAUGUUAGA